GUGCACUGUUCGUAACCUUCUGACAGUCACUUUUCUGACUUUGGGUUCCAUUCCAGUGCUACAUUAAUCCCACAAGAAUUUAAGGCCACCUGCUUUUUUAAGUUUGGCUGCUUUCAACGUUGGGAACAUUU